AGAACGAACGCUGGCGGCAUGCCUAAUACAUGCAAGUCGAACGAACACUUCGGUGUUAGUGGCGCACGGGUGCGUAACGCGUGGGAAUCUGCCCUUGGGUUCGGAAUAACAGUUGGAAACGACUGCUAAUACCGGAUGAUAUCGAAAGAUCAAAGAUUUAUCGCCCAGGGAUGAGCCCGCGUAGGAUUAGCUAGUUGGUGAGGUAAAGGCUCACCAAGGCGACGAUCCUUAGCUGGUCUGAGAGGAUGAUCAGCCACACUGGGACUGAGACACGGCCCAGACUCCUACGGGAGGCAGCAGUAGGGAAUAUUGGACAAUGGGCGCAAGCCUGAUCCAGCAAUGCCGCGUGAGUGAUGAAGGCCUUAGGGUUGUAAAGCUCUUUACCCGAGAUGAAUAAUGACAGUAUCGGAGAAUAAGCCCCGGCUAACUCCGCGCCAGCAGCCGC
rnacentral:rRNA from 1 species